GCCGCAAGGGGAAUUGGUAGACGCGCACGGUUCAGGUCCGUGUGCCGCAAGGUGUGGAGGUUCGAGUCCUCUUCUGGGCACCA
rnacentral:tRNA from 1 species